GUAUCUUUUGGAGGCAUAUUCUGAAAUAUUUAUAGAUUAAGUGAUAUAUGGGGGGGGGUUCAAAAUAAUACAGAGUGAGGGAAAGGUCGGGAUGAAACAAGAUUGGCCAUGAUAUGAUCAUGCUUGCAGAGGUUCGUCAUACCACGCUGCCUACCUGAAACAAACUGUAUCAGAGUCCGGCGUUCAGACUUUGGGAGAAGCUCCACCCACUGCGCUUCAGAGGCCCCGCCCCAUCUGGCCUCCUAUCCCGUAUCCGCUCCCCCAAGUUGUCUAUUAAUGGUGUCUCUGCACUUUCUCUUUUCCCCCGGGAAUCCAUUACCCUCUCAUAUCAUAAGCUGCGCUCUCUAUUCUUCCCAAGUCUCCGUAGACUGCUUCGAGCCCUUAGACGUUAUCCACGGCCUUUAGCCCUCCAGCCGCUGCCACCCAGCUCCCCCCACGUCCUGGGGGCGUUUGGUUGCGUCCAGCCGCCCACCCUAGGAGCGCGUCCGCGUCGUCAUGGCGACGCUCGGAGCGGGUGCCGGCGCUAGCCGAUUCCUGCCUGGGAGCUUCCUGCAGUGUGAGCGACUUUACCGGUGGCCCAGAGGCGGCCAAGCGACACCGAAGCUGCGGGAGCCCCGGACAAGUUCAGCCAAAAGUCGUUCUGGACCCGGGAAAUGACCUUUGGCUCUAGAAGGAAGACUCAUUUUCUUGAUAAAAUGGCAGCAGUGAAAACUCCCAGCUUAGAACUAAAGAAUGUGGAAGAACCCUUCAAUAACGAAACGCCCCUCCUUUUGAAGAGCCUAGUGGAGGAGCCCAAGAAAAGAGAAGUGCCUAAUCACCUCCUUGAAUCAAAGAUUUAUGCCAAGCUUCUGAAUAAUAAGGCAAUACAGGCAAGACCUGGCAUAGUGCAUUUUGGAGGUUAUCAAAUAGAAAAACAGCACCAACAAAUUCUGCACCUGGUCAAUGUUUCUUAUGAAGACACACAUGUUCAUAUUUUACCCCCACAAACCAAAUACUUCCAGAUCAGCUAUGUGAAGAAGGAAAACCGCCUCAUCCCUGGCUUGUCCCUCACAGUCACCAUUACAUUUUAUCCAGAUGAGUGGCGAUACUAUUAUGACUGCAUCCGUGUUCACUGUAAGGGAGACAAUACCUUGCUUGUUCCUAUCCAUGCCUAUCCCGUCAUGAACACCCUGGACUUUCCCACAUUCAUAAAUCUAUCCAAUGUUCUCCUUGGUGAGAGCAAAACUUACAUUAUUCCUUUGCAGUGCACCUGCCCUGUGGAUUUUGAGUUCCAAGUCACUUUGAUCCAGUCUCACCAAGCCUUUGUUAUUGAGCCAACAUCAGGAAUAAUUCCAGCUAAUGGGAGGAUGGAUGUGACUAUAAAGUUCACACCCUUUCAGUAUGGCACUGCACAAAUAAAAAUGCAGUUAUGGAUUUCACAGUUCAACUCUCAGCCGUACGAAUGCGUCUUCACCGGAACGUGCUAUCCCAACCUGGCCUUACCAUUAAAAGAAUUUGAAAGAUUAAAUACUCUUUCUAAGAAAGUAAAUGUUCCUCCAGAAAAAGCAAUGAGACAUAUAAGUUUUCACCGACUACCAGCAAAGAGAGCACCUCCGAAAAUGAAGGAAAUUGAGUACCAGAAUCUGAGAUUUCCAGUAGAUUUAUCAAAUCCAUUUGCUGUGGCAACUGUUUUAAACCAAGAACCAGGAAAAUUGAGGAUUAAAGAAUUAAGAGAAGUUUUGGACCAAGGCACUGGGAUUUCAAAAACAAGACAGAUGAAGGAGGCACUCUUUGAACAGAAAGUCAGACAAGACACUUAUGAAGAGAUGGAAAAUCACCGUAAAUGGCAGGUGCACCUUGGUAAAGAUCCUAUGUCUUUUAAAUUGAGAAAGGAGCUUACUGAGGAGCAGCAAAGAAUAUACACCAACUACAAGGUCAGAAUGACUGCUAAUUUGAUAACAUUUGUUUCACUAAAUAUUUUGAAUUCCUUUUGUAUGCAAGACGCCAAAUCAGGAGAAAGAAAACAUAUAAUUACAUUGGGAGGGGAGGAGGCUGGUGACAAGUAAAUUGUUAACUAUAGACCAACAUUGUUACAAGUAUACUGUGCAUUGUGGGUUAUUCAGAAGCCAGAGAGAAGAGGGAACUCAUCUAAUUGGAAAGCUUCUUGGAAGAUAUGGUACAAUUUUGAAAAUUAGGAAGAGGACAAAGUCAUGCAUGUGGAGAGAAUGGCUCAGAUUUUGGCUGUAACUCUGGCUGUGAGGCACAUCUGUCCCAUGUUCUGCAGAGCACAGAAACCAGGGAGGCCCAAAGACAGUAUCUGGGAGCCACACCAGAGUCAGUCCCAAGUCAAAGACAUUCAAAGAGGCUGAGCAGAGAGGGCCAGCUGGCCUGAGGGAAGUAGGGCCACAUCAGGGACACCAGGACUGCGUCUGAGCUUGGGGACAGAAGAUGUGGGACUGCACAAUACCUGUGGCCUUACCAUGGAUCACAGUGUCGAAAUGGUUAGUACAGCAGAGCAGGUGCAGAGAACCCUGGAAACAAGUCCAUUGGGGCUGAAGCACAGGGAAUAUAUGGCUGAAAAGAGAUAGGACUCGGCCUGGACACCAAAUAUGAGGGGCUUGGACUUAAUGGAUAGGACUCACAGAAUCAUCACAGACGGUAUUAGCCUGCUCAGGCUGCAGUAAGAAUGUUCUAACAGACUGGGUGCUUAGACAACAGAGCUGCUUUAGGGUUCAAGUGUCAGCAGGGCAGGUUUCUUCUCAGUCCUGUCUGUUGGCUCACAGAUGGCCAUCGUCUCCAUGUGUCUGUGUCCUAAGUGCCUCUUCUUUCAUGGACACCAGUCAUAAGACCUCAUUUUAUCCUGACCACCUCUUUAAAGAGCCCACUUCCAAAUACCGUCACAUGCCAAGGUCCUAGCAAUUAGUACAUCAACAUAUGAGUUGUGGGGAA
rnacentral:lncRNA from 1 species